GGAUGACUGGCGUACGAGGAAUGACUGUGUGCACCAUUUUGCUGCAUUUUAUAUGUAUGAUGUCCAUGACCACGAUAAUCUCUACUGUGGGUCUCAUGAUAUGGGCGAGACUUACUACUAUGGUCAUUUGAACCUGAUGAUCUGGGGUAACGUCCAGGAUCUUGAGCAGAAUGGACGAAACUAGGCUGUAUGUUUUCAUGAGCAUUGUUACUCGGGGUUUCAAAGGAAGGAACGGGAGGACCAUAUGCAGCACGACAGGACGCUGGUCGGGCGUGCAUAUAAUUAUCACGUCCUUGGCCAUUAUGUGGACGCCUGUGAUCACCAUUUCCACCCCUAUCUUCUU
rnacentral:misc_RNA from 1 species